rnacentral:misc_RNA from 1 species
AACGGUCUAUACCUGCGGUACCUGCGGAAGGAUCAUUACCGAGUUUACAACUCCCAAACCCAAUGUGAACGUUACCAAACUGUUGCCUCGGCGGGAUCUCUGCCCCGGGUGCGUCGCAGCCCCGGACCAAGGCGCCCGCCGGAGGACCAACCAAAACUCUUUUGUAUACCCCCUCGCGGGUUUUUUAUAUCUGAGCCAUCUCGGCGCCUCUCGUAGGCGUUUCGAAAAUGAAUCAAAACU